rnacentral:snRNA from 1 species
GGCUAUUAGAGCUAUUUGUCUACCACAUCUGUCACCCCAUUGAUCAUCCAUGGUAGAAUCAGUUGAUCUGCCUGGCUAGGGCAAGUGUGCCCUUCCUCCCUCACCACUUCCUGUGUGUUUUUUCCAAAUCUGUAUGCUUGAUUGAGAGGACAGCUUUGCCUGGUAGUGGUGGACCAUUUUCCUUCAAGGGUACAUGAGUCGUGUAUUCCUGAGAACCUACAGAUAGCUCUCAAGAAAACAUGAAGGGAAAGAAGAGUUGGGACAGAAAGGGGUAGCACUUGCUAGACAUUACAACUCCUGUGUAGAGGAUAUGUGUAUCUUACUUU